rnacentral:rRNA from 1 species
AAUUGCAGAAUCCCGUGAAUCAUCGAGUUUUUGAACGCAAUUUGCGCCCGAGGCCUCGGUCGAGGGCACGUCUGUCUGGGCGUCGCAUCCCAUUCAAACGCGCUCCCUGCAAURUGCUAGGGAGCAGCGGAGCUGGUCGUCCGUGCCCCGUGCGGUGCGGUYGGCUGAAAUACCUCAAGCGAUGUUUCGUGGCGYGCGUCGGCGAGCGGUGAUCUUGUCCCCUUGGAUGGGCAGUCGGCGUUAGCCGAUGCGGGCUUUGUGUGGCAUCGCUCGAACUUGCUUUGCUCUCUCUUGUCCUCCCAUGGGGUAGGGCGGAUUUAGCUCCAACUUUGCGACCUCAGCUCAGGCGAGAACACCCGCUGAGUUUA